UCACAUGUCUCCUUUCCACUAAUUCCAUAAAUAAUAGCCAAGCUGGCUCCUCAUUCAUUCUUACAGUCACCAAACUCUAAAAAGUAGACAGCAAAUCAUCCUAGUGGUGUUUUUAACAAAGCUUUCUAGAAUCAUACACAAACCACUAAAACAAAUUUAGGAAACACUGUAGCAAACUGAUGACUACAUUCUCCUUGGGAUCUUGAAUGCCAAACGCAGAAAACUUUGGCCAUUCUAGCAAAAGAGUCCAGUGUGCACCAAUAAAACCCAACAGAGAUGAAAUCUUUCACUUUAUAUUCCGACUACUUUGGGCCAACUUGUUAAAUCACCAACACCUCAUAACAAAAUUGUCCACUGAGCAACUGACUGCUGUUAUGGCUGAAAAUAAGUGGCUAGGGCUCGGUGACCUUCCAAGCCUCCACAUUUUUAUGUUAUUUAUACAGAUAUUUACUUCGACAGCAUUUACUAGGCUUACAAGUUUUCUCUGGGAAGUUCUCCCACCACCACUUAACAUUUUGUUUGGUCAGUAGCAUAAGUGUGCAUUAUAGUCUAUAUAUAAAGUAUGUCCCAAAUAACUUGCAAA
rnacentral:lncRNA from 1 species